rnacentral:rRNA from 1 species
UCGAGGAUCUUCGGCAAUGGGCGCAAGCCUGACCGAGCGACGCCGCGUGUGCGAUGAAGGCCUUCGGGUUGUAAAGCACUGUCGAGGGGAAGAAAAGCCGCAAGGUUUGAUCGACCCCUGGAGGAAGCACGGGCUAAGUUCGUGCCAGCAGCCGCGGUAAGACGAACCGUGCGAACGUUGUUCGGAUUCACUGGGCUUAAAGGGCGCGUAGGCGGGCCAUCCAGUCUGGGGUGAAAUACUUCGGCUUAACCGGAGAACAGCCUUAGAUACUGAUGGCCUCGAGGGAGAUAGGGGUGCGUGGAACUUCCGGUGGAGCGGUGAAAUGCGUAGAUAUCGGAAGGAACGCCGGUGGCGAAAGCGGCGCACUGGAUCUCUUCUGACGCUGAGGCGCGAAAGCUAGGGGAGCGAACGGGAUUAGAUACCCCUGUAGUCC